rnacentral:lncRNA from 1 species
GGCUUCACUGGCUCAGCCGGUGGCGGUGCAGGUUUUGGCGGUUUCACUGGCUCCGCUGGUGGCGGUGCAGGUUUAGGAUUUUCAGGUUCCUUGGGUUUAUCUGCCGGUUUAGGUUUUUCAGGCUCUUUGGGUUUCUCUGCCGGUUUAGGUUUUUCAGGCUCUUUGGGUUUCUCAGUCGUCGGUUUAGGUUUUUCGGGCACUUUGGGUUUCUCUGCCGGUUUAGGUUUUUCGGGCUCUUUGGGUUUCUCGGCCGGUGGUGGCUUGGGCUUCUCUGGCUCUUUGAUCUCAAUGCUUUUUAUGGCACCUCCACCUUUGCAG